rnacentral:rRNA from 1 species
AUUGAACGCUGGCGGCAGGCCUAACACAUGCAAGUCGAACGGUAACAGGAAACAGCUUGCUGUUUCGCUGACGAGUGGCGGACGGGUGAGUAGUGUCUGGGAAACUCCCUGAUUUAGGGGGAUAACUAGUGGAAACGGUAGCUAAUACCGCAUAACGUCGCAAGACCAGAGAGGGGGGCAUUCUGGCCUCUUGCGAUCGUGUGUGCGCAGAUGGGAUUAGCUAGUAGGUGGGGUAACGGCUCACCUAGGCGACGAUCCGUAGCUGGUCUGAGAGGAUGAGCAGCCACACUGGAACUGAGACACGGUCCAGACUCCUACGGGAGGCAGCAGUGGGGAAUAUUGCACAAUGGGCGCAAGCCUGAUGCAGCCAUGCCGCGUGUAUGAAGAAGGCCUUCGGGUUGUAAAGUACUUUCAGCGGGGAGGAAGGGAGUAAAGUUAAUACCUUGACUGAUUGACGUUACCCGCAGAAGAAGCACCGGCUAACUCCGUG